GACAAGUUCUUGGAAAAAAAGUUAUCUCAAAGAUGGCCCGAUGUAAAGAGACAAUAUAAAAUUUUUAAGGAAACAAAGGAUGGAGAAAACAUGAACUUUCUUGCAAGAGGCCUAACUUGUGCGACACAGAUGGCCCUAUGCGAAGAAAAGAUAUGAAAGUCUUAAGGAAACAAAAGAUGGAAAAAAAUAAACUUUGUUACAAAAGGCAUAAAUUCUGUGAUUCAAUUGCGAAAUUAUUUGUCUCUAAUUCUUUUUUAUGAUUAUUAUUAUGACUAUAAUGAAUCAAAUGAAAAUUACUUCCACUUAAUUGCUAAUGUAUUAACAUUCAAAAAUGUCAAGAAAUUCAGCGGUAAUAUUGAUCAACUUGUUCCUAAACGUACACAAAAGCAUAUAGAUGUGCUGAAAUAUAUAUGUUUUAUAUUGAGGAGGUUAAAUGCUUGUUAACACAAUUUCCACAAAUUGAACGCAAAUCAAUCGAAAGAUAUUGCAAUAUAGAAAUGUCUCAUUAUGAAAAGCUAUCUUUGAUACGAAAUAAAUUGGACAGAUAUAUAGAGAAACCUGAAAAAAAACAGCUUUUAGAAGAAAUUUGUACUUUCAUAGCACAACGUAUUCAACCUCGAAAAGAUGUAUGUUACACGAAUGUAAGUGCAUCAUUGGAUACAAUCGCACAAGAAAUACUGAAUUCUCUUAGAAAGAAGCAUCCGAACCAUUCGAUAUUCUCCACGUCUGAUGAAACUUUUUC